rnacentral:lncRNA from 1 species
AAUUACAAUAAGUUUGGGGUUUUUAAAAAAUAUUUGAAUCUCUCAAUCCUAAAGUCGUAUCGCCGGCGAGACAUUCAAAUCGACUCCGGCAAUAUCACACACUCCCUCUCCGAUACAGAUUUCCGGCAAUUACCUGGCCCUGAGCCAUAAAUGGCGUCUCGAGUGUUUCCCUCGAGCUCGUGUGGCCAUUACCGUAGAAUAAGCUUGCUGGAAUCUGAUGUUGAAGAAGAGCCGCUAAGUAUUGUUUGAAACCAUCGAGCAGAAGCUUUAGGUAUCCUUGUGAGAUUGUUCUUGUAGUCAACAUAGUAGAUCCCAAACCGGACCGUGUAUCCUGAGUUCCAUUCCCAAUUGUCUAGCAAUGACCACACAAAAUAUCCUCUUACGUCGCAUUCAUCAUUCCUGCAAAGUGAAUGCGGGAACAUUUCAAACUCAAGAAUCUUUGUGAAUCUCUGCAAAGUGAAGAACUUUACCUUAUGGCAGCUGAUAAGUUUGAGAGGUGGGUUUCCAUAUAUGUCUUUAACAUACACUGCCAGUUUCCUGAUUCCCCAUGGGACAAUGUGUAGCCAGCUUGACCCUGCCUGUUUCAAGUAUGGUAAGCAGCAGCAUGAGACAACAGAAUGUUAUGAGCUACAAUAUACGGUUCGACCGAUGACUUCCCCUUCUUACAGAACCAAUGUCCCAGAAGUGAGCACCUUCCUGGAGCUUGUAUCCCUGUGUCAUAGCCUUGGAUCGAUACCCCAUGAGGCUCAUUGAAAGUGAUCCAGUACUUCACUCUAUCUCCAAAUGCUUUGAAACAGUUUGGAGAAGAUGAAGAAGAAGAAGAAUGUCACCUGGUAAGCUGAAGAAGCUGUUCCGAAUACAAAUCCAUCUGGAAAAUUUGCUCUGCUGAUAGAUUCUGAAGAAACGUGAUCAAGAGGUACGAAGAAGACGACGAAGAACGGAAACAGAACUAAGACGAGUCUCAUUAAAGAUUCCAUUUUUUGGGUCGCAUGAAUAGAGAAAGUGAGAGAAAGAGAGAGAUAAGGGGAUGGAAUUUUAUGGUGAAUGAAAGAUUUGGAGGCAAGAAAAUGGAGUUUUGGUGUGUGUGUGUUUUUAAUUUGUAAAGUUGAAGAAGAAAGAGGAAGAGUGCAAAACAAAAGCUCACGUCUUUUGAAGGCUUUUCUUUGGUUUUGACAUUUGUUCUCUCUACUUUUACUGCACACGUUUCUUAUACUUGUGCCAAAAACUUUUUAAAGUUGUUUACUCUCUUAAGAUAAAAAAAAAGUUUGUUACUGAGUGACACUGAUUCACCUAACUACCUAUGUCUUUUUUUUAAAGAUAUUCUUCUUGAUAGUCUUGUUAUUUGUAACCCC